GCCUGUGGUAGCGGUUUCGGAUUGGCUGCAAUCCACCUGCCGCCUGCAUGGCAUGCAGGAGGUCGUCGGUUCAAGCCCGAUCGGCUCCA
rnacentral:tRNA from 1 species